ensembl:snRNA U6 U6 spliceosomal RNA
GCUCCCUUCGGCAGCACCCAUACUAAAACGAUACACAGAUUCAUGGCUCCUGCACAAGGAUGACACGCAAAUUCGUUUAGCAUCCCAUAGUUUU